rnacentral:lncRNA from 1 species
CUUACCCACCCGAGGAGGUGGAGACUUUCGAGACGUCCCCUAGCGUGUGGGCGCUUGGACUCCCGGGAAACAGAGUCCGGGUGUUUGUGCCGCUCCCCCAGGGGGCUCCCGCAGGACCCGGGCCGCACGCCGGCGCCGUGGUGCGCAUGUGCAGCUCGGCCUGUGUGCGUGUUGGCGCAGGCGCAGUGCGGCCGCGCUGCUCUCGCUUCCUGUGCGUGCGCAGGUCACCGCUCGCCGCGGUUCCCAGGCUUCGGCCUCCGGCGGCCGAGGAUUCCCCGGUACCCCGCGGGGCUGUCCGCCGUCCGGCCGGGCCGGCACCCAGCGGGCGCGGGUCCGCGCGGGCCGGGCGGAGGCGCGAGCGGGAUCCCCCCAGCGCGAGCCCCGGAGCCCGCGGGCCUGGGCCGGAGGAGCCGGGCGGUCGAGUGGCGGCGGCGGCGGCGGCGGCGGCGGCGGGGCCCGGGUCCGGCCGGUUUGCGGCCGCAGGACGGCGAGGCGUCAGGCGGCCGUUUGGGGCCCCGGAGGGUGGUCGGCCCGAAGUGAGUUUGCGCGCUAGUUCCAGAGCCGGCGCCCCGGGAACGGCGGCCCCGGGAGGCGCAGGAGGAGCAGCCCCCCGCCCCGGAUCCCUCGCGAGCCUUGGGGCAGCUCGGCGGGUCCCGACGGGGUCCACCGUUAACAGUCUAUGGUUUUCCAAGAGCAGCAGAAAAUGAAUGAAUCCGGGAUCCCUGGGUGGCGCAGCGGUUUGGCGCCUGCCUUUGGCCCAGGGUGCGAUCCUGGAGACCCGGGAUCGAAUCCCACGUCGGGCUCCUGGUGCAUGGAGCCUGCUUCUCCCUCUGCCUGUGUCUCUGCCUCUCUCUCUCUCUCUCUGUGACUAUCAUAAAUAAAUAAAGAUUUAAAAAAAAAAUUAAAAAAAAAAAAAAAAAAAAAAAAAAAAAAAGAAAAUGAAUGAAUCCCAGGUGAGUUUUCCUGUGUCCGUGCUUGGUUUUGUAAUGCAUUUCAGCAGAUUUAUAUGGGUCCAGAUUUUAAAAUGGGAGUAUGGAAAUAAAAGACGUUAUCAUGUAACAUGCACUUCUCACCCUGUCAGAUCAGCACCUGUUGUGCCCAAGAUUGCGAAUGCGAGAAAACCGCCAAGGAGCCGAGGCCGAUGCAAGUACAUGAGGGUUUAUUGAGAAGCUCGAGCUUGGGUCCAAGUACACCCGACACAGCGGAGCAGGGACUUGGAACCUGAGGUGGGUUACGGCUGGGAUUUUAUGGGCUGAUCUAGGGGUAAGGUGGUGUUUUUCAGUAAAGCGUGGGGGUGUGAGAAUCUGCAGUAAAGAGGUCUCACGAGCUCUUGCUUCCUUAUUCCGAUAAGGGCGUGCUUUGUGGUUUUUCGUGUAGCCGGGGGAAGGUAGAGUUCAGUACCUGGUCACAGUGGCCUGAGACGGCUACCGAAGCUACAAUGACUGUACUUGUGCCAGUGUUAAGCUUGAAUGGCCCUAAUAUUCUCAGCCUCCACACACCCAGAGUCUUUUGUCGAGUUCAUGUGUGCGGAGCUACCCCUAUGUGGUGGGGCUACAUACGUGAGUCAGGUGCCUGAUAGUCCCAGAAAAGGAGCGUACCGUGCGUUACAUGAUUUGAAUGGAGCGUAAGAGGAAACCAUUUUUGUAACUUGUGGGUUUUAAAGAUUUCUUCGGACUUGAGAAACUGUCUUUGUGAAAUUGAUGUAGUUGUGGGUAGCUUUCCUGAUGAUGAUCAUUGAAUCAUUGCAACCUAUGACAUGUUUGUUGCUUAUCUAAACUGAGGACCUGGUACAUAUAAUUUUUCCAGGCACCAAAAUACCGUGAUCCAAGGAGACAUAUUUUCAUUGUUACUGUUUUGUCCAGGGGUAAAAGCUGAGUCGUGAGUGUAAUGGCCUGCGCAUCCUUCAGGUGGCUUCUGUUAUUCCUACUUGUUCGGGUUGUGCAGUACAUAAUACAGCGAGGUAUUCCCUAGUAAAUAUGCAGUCACUGCCGUUCCCAUUUCAAUUCUUAGCAUCUUGAUUUUGUCCUCACCCCUCUCUGGAACAUAUUGCUACAGAUUAGCAGUGACCUGGGCCCCUGGGUGACUCAGGCAGCUAAGUGUCUGCCUUUGGCUCAGGUUAUGAUGCUCGGGUCCUGGGAUCGAACACUGAGUUGGGCUCCCUGCUCUGUGGGUCUGCUUCUCCCUCUGUCCCUCCCCCCACUUGUGUGUGCUCUCACUCUCUUGCUCUCUCUCUCACUGUGUUGCUCACUAUCAAAUAAUAAAAAUCAAUCAAUCAAUCAAUCAAUCAAUCAAUCGCGGUGAUCUCAGUACAGUCAGAUGCAUCAGACAUCAUCCAGCUCUUACCUCCCGUGAUCAUUCGUCUGACGUAUUACUUCCACGUGUCUUUUCUUCGUGGAGUCUCCCUUUGCUUGGCUUUUAAAAAGGUUCACCUGCAGAUAGUUUUGCUCUUUAGCUGAUCAGGGGUGUUUGAAAAAGUAGGUGAGGGUAACCUGCAAUACCUAUUUUUCUGAGUAUAUAAUAUCUGGUGUUCAAAGUUUCGCCAUCUUCUGGAUGUGUUUGAGGUGGUUCUUUUCAAUCAGGAUACACAGAGACCACCCUCCAGGUGGCUAACUAAGUCUUUUAAAUCAUUUACUGAUGGUUUCCUUGUAUGUCUCUUAUGUUACUGCUUUGUAAUCUAUGUUUUGAAGAAAUUGUGUUUAUCCUGUGUUUCCGGUAGUCUGGAUUGUGUGGACCACGUUGCUGUCAUUCUAACUUGAAGACUUUUGUCAUUACCCAUAUGCCUUCUAUAAUUGGUAGUUAGCUCUGGACGUUGACCCAGUUCUGUUCAGUUCUUUUUGCAAGACUUUGCUGCCCUUGACUCUCGUCCUCUUUCCCCUGGAGGCCCGUACCAUCUUCCUUUGUUUUUGUGACGUUAGCAUCCAUUGGUUGAUGUUCAUUGCCAAGAUCCCCCAGUUCUUUAGGGGAGACAAGGUGGUGGUAUGUUACUUUACCAUUUCUUUGUUUCCCAGCUAGAAUACAUUCCUAAAGAACAACAUCUCUUUAAAUAGUUCUGUGUUACUUACAGAGAGGAUUAUUUUCACAAUAUCCAGUAGGCUCCUAAGCAACUGGGAUUUUUUUUUUUUUGAUUCAUUUUGUUACCAUUAUGAGCUCAUGGGUUUACACAUAUUUUAAGUAUUUCAGUACAUUGAAGUCGUUUUCUCUCUUUGAUGUCCAAGUGGUUCUGUGUUUGACCAGAGGAAUCCCUGCAGAUGGGUUUCUGAGUCCUUUUGCAACAUCCUCUGUGUAUUUGAUAGCAUUCGUUUUUAUUCAGCAUUUUAUUUUGAAAAAGCUUCAAUCUUACACAACAGUCGCAAGGAUCUUAGAGAACUUCCAUGUUCCCUUUGCCCAGAUACACCAGUUUUUUUACCUGUCCCCACAUUUGCUUUAUUAGCUCUCUUUGUGUGUGUGUGUGUGUGUGUGUGUGUCUGUAUGUAUAUUUCUUACCUGAAUCAUUUGAGAGUGGGUGUCAUCUGUCUUGUCCGUUUUCAGAUUAUGCCUGCUAAGAUCAAGGAUAUUGAUGGAUGGAUUGAAUUCCGGAAGUGGAAGAUUAUUGUAACAGUCUCAUGUAGCCAGUCUGGCUUUCUUUUGAGACGUGUUGGCAUCUGAUUUCACCCUUUUACUUUCAACCUAUUUCCAUCUUUAUGCUUCAAGUGCAGAUAGUUGGAUCUUGCUGUUUUUAAAUCCAGUCUGACAGUCUCUGCCUAUUAAUUGGGUUGCCUAGACCACCUUACAUGUAAUCUGACUAUUGAUAUAACCAGUAAGGGUUGUAGUCUGGUUUUGUUUUCUCUUUGUACCAUUGGCUUUGUUUCUUUUUUCUUCUUUUGUGAACUUCUUUCCUUUCAAUGGAUUGUGUAUUUUUUGUGAUUCUGUUUUACAUCUCUUGCGGGGAGUUUAGCUCUAACACUGUUAUGUUUUUAUUGUUUUGGGGUUUCUGUUAUGCAGCUUUAAUAUUUUACAGUUCAUCUUCAGGUAAUGUACUGUUUCACUUCAACUAUAGUGAGCCUGUGGUUAUUUCCAUUUCUCCCCUCUUGGUCCUUAUGUUGUUGUUGGCUAUUACUUUUUUUUUUCUUCUUAUUUAAGACUUAUUAUUGAUUUAUUCAUGAAAGACACACACACACAGAGAGAGAGAGAGAGAGAGAGGGAGAGGGAGAAAGGCAGAGACACAGGCAGAGGGUGAAGCAGGCCCCAUGCAGGGAGCCCGACGCGGGAGUGGAUCCUGGGUCUCCAGGGUAAGGCCCUGGACUGACGGCGGGGCUAAACUGCUGAGCCACCCAGGCUGCCCGGAUAUUACUUUCACAGGUAGAAUCAAUCCCCCAAGACAUUGUGAUUUUUGGGUAAAGCGUUAUUUUUUAAGGAAUACUAAAAUAACAUCGUUGCCAUUUCUGGUGCACUUGGUUUCUUUAUGUUUUAUGUCUGUCCAGAUUUAGAUCUCCUGUCAUUUUCCUUCAGCCUGAAGGACAUCCUUGAGCACUUUGAGGCUUUUUUUUUUCUUUUCCAAUAUUUAAUUUAAAUUUUAGGUAGUGAACAUGCAGUGCAGUAUCGGUUUCAGGAGUAGAAUUCAGUGAUUCAUCACAUAUAAGACACCCGGUGCUCAUCACAACAAGUGCCCUCCUUGAUACUCAUCCCCUAUCUAGCCCCUCCUGCAAUCAGCUCCCUCCAUCAACCCUCAGUGUAUUCUCUAUCCUUAAGAGUCUUAUGGUUUGUUUCCCUAUCUCCCUUUUUCCCUCUUCCCAUAUGUUCAUCUG